rnacentral:RNase_P_RNA from 1 species
AGAGUUAGCGAUGGCGGUUGCGGAUUCAUUGGUUUAUUGAAUCUGAGGAAAGUCCGGGCUCCCCAAAGACCAGACUUGCUGGGUAACUCCCAGUGCGAGCGAUCGCGAGGAUAGUGCCACAGAAACAUACCGCCAAAGGGGCUAGUUAGCUCACUGGUAAGGGUGCAAAGGUGCGGUAAGAGCGCACCAGCGAUAUCGUGAGGUAUCGGCUCGGUAAACCCCGGUUGGGAGCAAGGUCGCAGGGAUGACGGUUGGUCUUUUACCGAUUCCGAUUUAUGGUGUACCGCUAGAGGUAUCUGGUAACAGAUAUCCCAGAUAGAUAACCGCUAUCUUGAUUGCUAUUUGCAGUUGAGACAACAGAACCCGGCUUAUGUCUGGCUCUUACC